GACGAACGCUGGCGGCGUGCUUAACACAUGCAAGUCGAACGGAAAGGCCCUGCUUUUGUGGGGUGCUCGAGUGGCGAACGGGUGAGUAACACGUGAGUAACCUGCCCUUGACUUUGGGAUAACUUCAGGAAACUGGGGCUAAUACCGGAUAGGAGCUCCUGCUGCAUGGUGGGGGUUGGAAAGUUUCGGCGGUUGGGGAUGGACUCGCGGCUUAUCAGCUUGUUGGUGGGGUAGUGGCUUACCAAGGCUUUGACGGGUAGCCGGCCUGAGAGGGUGACCGGCCACAUUGGGACUGAGAUACGGCCCAGACUCAUACGGGGGGCAGCAGUGGGGAAUAUUGCACAAUGGGCGGAGGCCUGAGGCAGCAACGCCGCGUGCGGGAUGACGGCCUUCGGGUUGUAAACCGCUUUCGCCUGUGACGAAGCGUGAGUGACGGUAAUGGGUAAAGAAGCACCGGCUACCUACGU
rnacentral:rRNA from 1 species